GAUGAAGAACGUAGUGAAAUGCGAUACGUAAUGUGAAUUGCAGAAUUCAGUGAAUCAUCGAAUCUUUGAACGCACAUUGCGCCCGCCAGUAUUCUGGCGGGCAUGCCUGUCUGAGCGUCAUUUCAACCCUCAAGCAACUUCUGCUUGGUGUUGGGGAUCGGCCGUCAAACGCCGCCCCCGAAAUCUAUUGGCGAUCUCGCUGUAGCUUCCUAUGCGUAGUAGUAACAUCUCGCAUCUGGAGAGCGGCGCGGUCAUGCCGUAAAACACCCAACUUCUCAGGUUGACCUCAGAUCAGGUAGGAAUACCCGCUGAACUUAAGCAUAUCAAUAAGCGGAGGA
rnacentral:misc_RNA from 1 species